UAGAGAUUGCCACUCCUAACCCCUGUGUUGUUUAAGGGUCACCUGCAUAUAUUGAAGAUGUUCACUUCUCUCCAUCUUUGACUUCGCUACCUUCCGGCCAGCUACCACCAUCCUUCACAGGAGAAAUAAAGACCAUCAACUUCAUUUCUCCGCCUCUAUGUUUGCCUUUCCAUGGUCAACUUUCCAUGCUGAAACUAGAGACAGCUUUCUAAAAGACACUUAAACGUCACUUCAGACAGCAGAGCAGAAGUUCCCAAAAAUAGACAAUGGGAAUGUCAUUCCUUUGCAAGCAGGAAUGUUCCAUCACCACCAGAACAUUACCACCAAGCUCCGCCAAACACAGCAUCCAUAUCAGAUUUCAGCUGGGCAGAGAAGAGUCAUACACAUAUUUUAGACCAUCGAGCCACAUUCCAAAGCAAUGCUGCUCUCCUGGAACGAAGGGGACUAGCACUCC